rnacentral:rRNA from 1 species
UACGUAGGGGGCAAGCGUUGUCCGGAAUCAUUGGGCGUAAAGCGCGUGUAGGCGGUCCGGUAAGUCCGCUGUGAAAGUCGGGGGCUCAACCCUCGGAUGCCGGUGGAUACUGUCGGGCUUGAGUACGGAAGAGGCGAGUGGAAUUCCCGGUGUAGCGGUGAAAUGCGCAGACAUCAGGAGGAACACCAAUUGCGAAGGCAGCUCGCUGGGACGUUACUGACGCUGAGACGCGAAAACGUGGGGAGCAAACAGG